rnacentral:rRNA from 1 species
CAGCUAAGGUCCCAAAAUAUAUGUUAAGUGGAAAAGGAUGUGGCGUUGCCCAGACAACUAGGAUGUUGGCUUAGAAGCAGCCAUCAUUUAAAGAGUGCGUAAUAGCUCACUAGUCGAGUGACACUGCGCCGAAAAUGUACCGGGGCUAAACAUAUUACCGAAGCUGUGGAUUGUCCUUUGGACAAUGGUAGGAGAGCGUUCUAAGGGCGUUGAAGCAUGAUCGUAAGGACAUGUGGAGCGCUUAGAAGUGAGAAUGCCGGUGUGAGUAGCGAAAGACGGGUGAGAAUCCCGUCCACCGAUUGACUAAGGUUUCCAGAGGAAGGCUCGUCCGCUCUGGGUUAGUCGGGUCCUAAGCUGAGGCCGACAGGCGUAGGCGAUGGAUAACAGGUUGAUAUUCCUGUACCACCUAUAAUCGUUUUAAUCGAUGGGGGGGACGCAGUAGGAUAGGCGAAGCGUGCGAUUGGAUUGCACGUCUAAGCAGUAAGGCUGAGUAUUAGGCAAAUCCGGUACUCAUUAAGGCUGAGCUGUGAUGGGGAGAAGACAUUGUGUCUUCGAGUCGUUGAUUUCACACUGCCGAGAAAAGCCUCUAGAUAGAAAAUAGGUGCCCGUACCGCAAACCGACACAGGUAGUCAAGAUGAGAAUUCUAAGGUGAGCGAGCGAACUCUCGUUAAGGAACUCGGCAAAAUGACCCCGUAACUUCGGGAGAAGGGGUGCUCUUUAGGGUUAACGCCCAGAAGAGCCGCAGUGAAUAGGCCCAAGCGACUGUUUAUCAAAAACACAGGUCUCUGCUAAACCGUAAGGUGAUGUAUAGGGGCUGACGCCUGCCCGGUGCUGGAAGGUUAAGAGGAGUGGUUAGCUUCUGCGAAGCUACGAAUCGAAGCCCCAGUAAACGGCGGCCGUAACUAUAACGGUCCUAAGGUAGCGAAAUUCCUUGUCGGGUAAGUUCCGACCCGCACGAAAGGCGUAACGAUUUGGGCACUGUCUCAACGAGAGACUCGGUGAAAUCAUAGUACCUGUGAAGAUGCAGGUUACCCGCGACAGGACGGAAAGACCCCGUGGAGCUUUACUGUAGCCUGAUAUUGAAAUUCGGCACAGCUUGUACAGGAUAGGUAGGAGCCUUUGAAACGUGAGCGCUAGCUUACGUGGAGGCGCUGGUGGGAUACUACCCUAGCUGUGUUGGCUUUCUAACCCGCACCACUUAUCGUGGUGGGAGACAGUGUCAGGCGGGCAGUUUGACUGGGGCGGUCGCCUCCUAAAAGGUAACGGAGGCGCUCAAAGGUUCCCUCAGAAUGGUUGGAAAUCAUUCAUAGAGUGUAAAGGCAUAAGGGAGCUUGACUGCGAGACCUACAAGUCGAGCAGGGUCGAAAGACGGACUUAGUGAUCCGGUGGUUCCGUAUGGAAGGGCCAUCGCUCAACGGAUAAAAGCUACCCCGGGGAUAACAGGCUUAUCUCCCCCAAGAGUUCACAUCGACGGGGAGGUUUGGCACCUCGAUGUCGGCUCAUCGCAUCCUGGGGCUGUAGUCGGUCCCAAGGGUUGGGCUGUUCGCCCAUUAAAGCGGUACGCGAGCUGGGUUCAGAACGUCGUGAGACAGUUCGGUCCCUAUCCGUCGUGGGCGUAGGAAAUUUGAGAGGAGCUGUCCUUAGUACGAGAGGACCGGGAUGGACAUACCUCUGGUGUACCAGUUGUCGUGCCAACGGCAUAGCUGGGUAGCUAUGUGUGGACGGGAUAAGUGCUGAAAGCAUCUAAGCAUGAAGCCCCCCUCAAGAUGAGAUUUCCCAACUUCGGUUAUAAGAUCCCUCAAAGAUGAUGAGGUUAAUAGGUUCGAGGUGGAAGCAUGGUGACAUGUGGAGCUGACGAAUACUAAUCGAUCGAAGACUUAAUCAA